rnacentral:rRNA from 1 species
GGGUUGUGAGGUUAAGCGACUAAGCGUACACGGUGGAUGCCCUGGCAGUCAGAGGCGAUGAAGGACGUGCUAAUCUGCGAUAAGCGUCGGUAAGGUGAUAUGAACCGUUAUAACCGGCGAUUUCCGAAUGGGGAAACCCAGUGUGAUUCGUCACACUAUCAUUAACUGAAUCCAUAGGUUAAUGAGGCGAACCGGGGGAACUGAAACAUCUAAGUACCCCGAGGAAAAGAAAUCAACCGAGAUUCCCCCAGUAGCGGCGAGCGAACGGGGAGCAGCCCAGAGCCUGAAUCAGUGUGUGUGUUAGUGGAAGCGUCUGGAAAGGCGCGCGAUACAGGGUGACAGCCCCGUACACAAAAAUGCACAUGCUGUGAGCUCGAUGAGUAGGGCGGGACACGUGGUAUCCUGUCUGAAUAUGGGGGGACCAUCCUCCAAGGCUAAAUACUCCUGACUGACCGAUAGUGAACCAGUACCGUGAGGGAAAGGCGAAAAGAACCCCGGCGAGGGGAGUGAAAAAGAACCUGAAACCGUGUACGUACAAGCAGUGGGAGCACGCUUAGGCGUGUGACUGCGUACCUUUUGUAUAAUGGGUCAGCGACUUAUAUUCUGUAGCAAGGUUAACCGAAUAGGGGAGCCGAAGGGAAACCGAGUCUUAACUGGGCGUUAAGUUGCAGGGUAUAGACCCGAAACCCGGUGAUCUAGCCAUGGGCAGGUUGAAGGUUGGGUAACACUAACUGGAGGACCGAACCGACUAAUGUUGAAAAAUUAGCGGAUGACUUGUGGCUGGGGGUGAAAGGCCAAUCAAACCGGGAGAUAGCUGGUUCUCCCCGAAAGCUAUUUAGGUAGCGCCUCGUGAAUUCAUCUCCGGGGGUAGAGCACUGUUUCGGCAAGGGGGUCAUCCCGACUUACCAACCCGAUGCAAACUGCGAAUACCGGAGAAUGUUAUCACGGGAGACACACGGCGGGUGCUAACGUCCGUCGUGAAGAGGGAAACAACCCAGACCGCCAGCUAAGGUCCCAAAGUCAUGGUUAAGUGGGAAACGAUGUGGGAAGGCCCAGACAGCCAGGAUGUUGGCUUAGAAGCAGCCAUCAUUUAAAGAAAGCGUAAUAGCUCACUGGUCGAGUCGGCCUGCGCGGAAGAUGUAACGGGGCUAAACCAUGCACCGAAGCUGCGGCAGCGACGCUUAUGCGUUGUUGGGUAGGGGAGCGUUCUGUAAGCCUGUGAAGGUGUACUGUGAGGUAUGCUGGAGGUAUCAGAAGUGCGAAUGCUGACAUAAGUAACGAUAAAGCGGGUGAAAAGCCCGCUCGCCGGAAGACCAAGGGUUCCUGUCCAACGUUAAUCGGGGCAGGGUGAGUCGACCCCUAAGGCGAGGCCGAAAGGCGUAGUCGAUGGGAAACAGGUUAAUAUUCCUGUACUUGGUGUUACUGCGAAGGGGGGACGGAGAAGGCUAUGUUGGCCGGGCGACGGUUGUCCCGGUUUAAG